UUUUUUUUUGGCGCACCGGACACGAGGACGGGGCGGGAGCCGGAGGGAUGUGCUGGGGACGGCCACCACCUCCCUGCCUCUAGCCCAGGGGCUCCUCCAGCUCACCCCGGCCUCGGAGCCGGACUGGGCGGCAGAGCUGGGGGUGGCAACCAGGCACUCCGGGAAAUUAUCCGUUUUCACACAACCCGGGCCGAUCCCGUGGUCUGGCAGAGGUAAUGUCCGGUAGCACCUUGGGGGGCUGCUACUGGAGCACUACAAUCAGUGGCUUCUUACGCCACAGAGAAAACUAGGAGAUCAAAUAGGGAAAACAAACAAACAAAAAGCAAACAAAAUAAAUAAAAAAAAAAAACACAAAACCACCUUUUCGGCUGGAAACUGAGUCAUUGCUCCUGCUCAGUAAUAUCCCAGACACGAGUAUCUAAUGUGCCCCUGAUCCCUGAUUCGCUGUUUGCAGCGAUUGCCAAUGGGAGCUUUCGGGCUUUGAAGUUAUGGAAAUUGUCUUCGCAGGCAUUAGUCGGUAUUUUAAUAGCUCUCAUUCUGGCUCGCUUGCUGCAGGAUUUAGAAAAGCCAAAAAUUCAGCGCUCUUCCGGGGCAUCUAAAACGUUAGGUCCGUCCUCCGAGAGGCAAUUCAACGUGAGGCCAAGUGCGGAGAGACGAAAUGAGUGCAUGUGUUCAAAAUUACAUUUUCGGCAGAAAUUAAGAUCCACCGGUCCGCGUUUAAAUGCGAGGUGGGACAACGGCGGGGGCGGGGGGGCUCGGUGUGCAGGAAACAUCACUGGGAAACCUGGAAUGUAACAGCGAGGAUCAAAAGUUAAUGGCCUAUUUGAUGUGAAAAGUGAGCCGGGGAUGGCGGAGAGCGGGAGCGAAAAGAGCCGCCGGGACGCACGCAGGGCGCCCGCACCGCCGGACGAUCCGCGUCCCGUGCAAGUAGCUAAACCAAAAAUACAGCGCAGUUGCUAGAUAAAAACAGCGAUGGAGUUUUACACUUUUCAUGAUGCAGGCCGACGGGACCACGUUCAAAAGCACGGGAAUUAAAAAAAAAAGGCGGCGAGGAUGCUGGAGGUGGUGAGGGUGAGUACCCUGGGCGGGUACCGCGUGUGCGGAGGAUGCGACCAGCUCUGGGGCCUGAGGUAUGGCUGGGGCAGAGGCUGGGGGCGACCUCCAGGGGCGAUCCAUCAACAGCAGCCCAUCCAGCGUCUCCUGCCCCCUCACUAAUUGCUUUGGCUUUUCUCCCAAUUAGUGCCUGCACACUUCCUUGCUCCCCCAGCGCGCACCGGAGUGAAAAUGGGGCAGAGAAGUCCUGUGCUGUGAGGGGUAAAAGGGCAACGGUGCAACGGGUCCCCACAUCUACAGAUUUUUUUUUUUUUUUUCCCCUUCUGCACAGUGAAGCAGGGUUGGCUGAGAAGUUUAAGUUUUAUUGAAUGCCGAAAGCCAUUUUCUGGCCUGCUGUUUGGUUCCUGCUGUGCAGUUUGGGAGGAAAUCCAGGUGGGAUAUUUAAAUCUGGUUCAAGUGUCACAUAGAUAAUUUAUAGGUUGGUCAAGGUAGAAGCAGAUCCUUUCCCCCAAAUUUAGGCUUAUGCAUAUAGUUCUGUAGGUCUCAUCCACGCAAUCGACACUGAAAGAGGCCCGGCUCUAAUGCUGUGGUACAUAAUACACAACAAAUGGAAUGAAAAAUUUGGAAAUAAAUCAUACAGGAAUUCUUGGUUCGGGGGAAUGACAUCCCAGUACUUAAAUUAUUAGAUUAUGUUUGGAUAGAAUAUUUAAUCUACCACACACCAUCCAUGUACUUUAAUUUUCCCUGAUUCCGUGAAUAAAUUUGGUCCUGAUUUCAGUUUUACAGCUGAGUUUCAAUUUGUGUUCUCAGUUAGCCCUGAGGAAUGACUGUCCAUUCGUGAACCUGACAAUGAAGGUAAAUAAGUUGCACUGUCACCACGUGGUUGUGCAUUAUGCUACAUUUUUGGAAGAAACCUUUAAAAUCUGUCAUCUCUUACUGUUUUCCAAUGGACAUUUGUAGGUCGGGAACAAGAGGAAGCUGCAUAUAAAGGUGAAUUUUCCAAAGAGGUCAUAACAAAAAUCAUAUUUAAAAGGUCCUAAUUCUAUGGCAUUGAGGGAAAAAUAAAAGAAUCACUGUACCUCGUCCUUCUUUGGAGACAUUCAAAGCAAUCCUGCAGAAUGCACAAUGCAUUCACCUUGUCUGGUUUAAUAGAGGCAGAAAAUGAUUAGAGUGUGUUUUAAUACUUGCUGUACAAGUGACGUAAGAAGCCAAGCCUCAGAACAGUUUAAAUGUUGAUAUACCCAGCUUGAAAAAGCUUGUCAAAUAAAUCAAACCGUUCUGGGGGCAAACCCAUGUUGUUUUUAAACCACAGAGUGGGGCAGUGGGCGUGGUUACUCACAUGGUUGAAUGGUGAAUGUAUAGAUUUAAAAUACAUUUUGCCACACUGGUUUCCAGAGGAUUGUUUUGGCCUCGUAUUCCAAGACCAUGAGCCAAAACUCUGGUCAAUGUUUUGACAACAGAGCCAGGAAAAACAAAAAAGGCUUAGCCUGUGAAAAAGAAAUGAAGAUGUAGUGAAGGAAAACAGUAGUCUCUCUGCCACUGCCUUACUCGAUCCAUAUGUGGACUUAAACACAGGAAAUACCCACCAUUCACCGCAAUCAAGCCAGAGGCUUGUGCAUCAGAAAGUGCCUUGUGGAACUAAUUGGACUCUAUUAAGAUUGUCAUUGACAUAGGAAAGCAUUUUGAAAUUUUAAAUGAGAACAUUUAGAGAAUACAAAAAAAAUGAUAACUGCUGUAAGUGUUAAUUUUUAAAAAAUAUGUUCACCACAGCACUAAAAUUUUAUGAUGUGUUUCUAGUGUGGCUUUUUACAUAGAAUAAUUAUCAUUUUGCAGUGUUUGUGUUCUUAAACUCUUUAUGCUUACUUUUCAUCAAAAGUCUUUCUGUCACAGACAAAAAUCAUCGAGUGUGCUCCAGCAUCAGUUCAUAGCAGAAUGGAAGAAAAUCCAGACUUCACCAAUUUAAAAUGAUAAUCAACAAAGUGAUGAUGUCUUACAUACUGACAAAGUUUGCAGAGGAAACACAGCUACAAAUAAUAUGUCCUGGAAUGAUUUUUUUUUUUUUCAUUUUAUAGACUUGAGUGAAAACAACAUUUGUCCUUGCCAACAAAUAUUUGGCAAAGUGUUUCUUUUAGCACAUUCCUGCCAGAUAUCUCCUUGGGAGGUCUUGGUGUUGUUUUUCCCGACUGCAGUUUGUUAUUAUUAUUAUUAUUAUUAUUAGAUUUGUUUGUUUGUUUAGUUAUUGUUGUUGAUGCUUUUUGUUAUUUUUAUUUAUUUAUUUAAUUAAUUAUUUUUACUAUACCAUUGCUUUUAUAUUUUUAGCAUGGUGAAGCACAAUUAAACAUGAAAAAACUAUGUUGUGUUUGCCAAUUAAAUUCAAUCUCUACGUAAUUUCCACUGAAUUCACAAUCCUGUGAACUUUUACUGUCUUUGCCUGUUUGAUUUUUUUCUCCCUCUUGCUUUGCAACACAUUAGUGGGAUCACUUAUGUUUCAAAAGUCACAGGAUCUUUAGUAUGCUGCUGAACAGUGAGUUAAAUUUCUUAGCCUUCUUGAUAGAUGGAGAAGUGUUUGAGGAGGUGACAUGUUUUCCCCAAUUUUUAAGUCACCAAAUAACACUGUUGUAGAGCUGUGUAAAAAAAAAAAAAAUCAGUUCCUCCACAUCAGCUACACAGGGUACUGUAGCAGGACUAGGGACACAGAUGUCAAGUGUCUCGUCUGCUCUCUGUACCUCAGGGAAUCUAAUUAUUUAUUUAUUUUUAUUAUUUUCAUUCAGUUUGCCUUUUUCAUCUUAUUAUUAUUAUUAUUAUUAUUAUUAUUAUUGUUAUUGUUAUUGUUAUUAUUAUUAAUUUAUUUUAAUUAUCCAAAUGGUACUUUAUCCAAAUUUCAUGAAAAAUUCCUGUUCAUAAAUUUUUACCUUUGAAAGACUUGCAAGAACAAACAUGUUCACAUGCAGCAGGAGCUGCAGUUGUAAAUGUGUUGAAACUCAGCCGACAGGUAUUUUGAAUACAGGUAGCAGAACCUCUGCUCCCGAUGCUGCAUGUUCAAGCCUUAUGUUCAUCGGCAGAGAUUUUAACACAUUGUCUAUGUAAAAUAUAACAACAGUGGAAACUUUGUUUAUUUUGGCAUUUAUAGCAAACGAAAAAAACAAUUUUCGUAGCCGGGUCAACAGCCUGGCAUGAGACUUGGAGCUCCUGAGGGUCACCACCUGAUUUUCUUUGUUGUCUACUACCAGUGUGAUAAGGCAGAGCACCCCAGCUCUUCCUCCAGAACUAGUCCCUGGACGACCACCUUCUAAUGCUGACUAUCAUUUCUUCUAGCUCAGGCAGCAGCCUUACCCUGUUUUGUAACUUUUGCAGAUUUGACUUCAGGACUUGUGACACCAUUCCUUACAUUUUAUGUGGUCUGUUGAGGGAAAGAGCGGGGAGAAAGUCUGUGUGUAAAUACAUAAAAUGUGAUGACUUUACAGGCAUGACUUAAGUCUGAUUGUAAUGUAAGCAAAGCUGAUUAUUGUGUUGGUAGAUGUCUACAAAGUGUAUUUGGAGUACAACAGCACAUAUGAUAUAUUCAGAAAGCAAUUGAAUAUAUAAUAAAUUAAGAACAGACAAAA